GGUCCUACGGGACGCAGCAGUGGGGAAUAUUGCACAAUGGGGGAAACCCUGAUGCAGCGACGCCGCGUGAGUGAAGAAGUAAUUCGUUAUGUAAAGCUCUAUCAGCAGGGAAGAAAAUGACGGUACCUGAGUAAGAAGCCCCGGCUAACUACGUGCCAGCAGCCGCGGUAAUACGUAGGGGGCAAGCGUUAUCCGGAUUUACUGGGUGUAAAGGGAGCGUAGACGGCAGUGCAAGUCUGGAGUGAAAGGCAGGGGCUUAACCCCUGAACUGCUUUGGAAACUGCCAUGCUAGAGUGCUGGAGAGG
rnacentral:rRNA from 1 species